AGGAAGGGGUAAUGAAUAUUCGGCGGCUAAAAAAGCUACGUCGUCGUAACCUUUUUGUUUUAACAUCCGUAGAUGAUCCCACCAUUUUUCACGAGCAGUAAGUAAUUGCUUCCUUUCCACUUCGCGAAGCUUCAAUGUCCACUUGAGGCCAAUCUCCUGAACUGUAGAAAUAGCCUUAGAUGCCUUGACUUGGCUCGUGGGAUUGAUUAGAGCAAUAGCUAAAUAUGAAUCAGAGUCCAAGUUUUCAACAACAGCUGGGGUUAAUUCGGGAACGAGAGGAUAUUUUAGCAAAGAUGCCCAUUUGAUGAGUUGAAAAGUGUUUCGCAUCGCUGAAACAGAGCGUUCAGAGUAGGAGAAAGCAACGCCAUGGCGUAUGGCGACUAAGUGUGGAAGACGUGUGACAUUUAAUGUCUUAAUUACUUUUUCGUCAUCCGUGCGAUAGAGAGGAGCAAAUCCUACCAAAUAUCUAGCAAAAAUGCGUAAGGAGUCGAAAUCUUCAGGAGUAGAUCCAUAAUCGUGCAAGUAUAAGAAAAAAACAGGCUCAUUAGCUUUUAGAUUUUUGAACUCUUCUAAACGAAUUAUGCUUUGCGGAUAAACCUUUCCGUCUGUUUCGUCUAGCUCAGUUAUUAGAU